GAUUAACGCUAGCGGCAGGCAUAAUACAUGCAAGUUGAACGGCAGCACAGGUAGCAAUACUGGGUGGCGAGUGGCGCACGGGUGCGUAACACGUAUGCAACCUACCCUAUACAGGCGAAUAACCUUUAGAAAUGAGGGCUAAUACGCCGUAGUAUUACAGAUGGGCAUCUAUUUGUAAUUAAAGAUUUAUCGGUAUAGGAUGGGCAUGCGUCCCAUUAGUUAGUUGGUAAGGUAACGGCUUACCAAGACGAUGAUGGGUAGGGGAUCUGAGAGGACUUACCCCCACACUGGUACUGAGACACGGACCAGACGCCUACGGGAGGCAGCAGUAAGGAAUAUUGGGCAAUGGCCGCGAGGCUGACCCAGCCAUGCCGCGUGCAGGAAGACGGCCUUAUGGGUUGUAAACUGCUUUUAUACGGGAAGAAUAGAGUGUACGCGUACAUUUAUGCAAGUAUCGUAUGAAUAAGCAUCGGCUAACUCCGUG
rnacentral:rRNA from 1 species